GAUGAAGAACGUAGCGAAAUGCGAUAAGUAAUGUGAAUUGCAGAAUUCAGUGAAUCAUCGAAUCUUUGAACGCACAUUGCGCCCGCCAGUAUUCUAGCGGGCAUGCCUGUUCGAGCGUCAUUACAACCCUCAGGCCCCCGGGCCUGGCGUUGGGGAUCGGCGGAGCCCCCCGUGGGCACACGCCGUCCCCCAAAUGCAGUGGCGGUCCCGCCGCAGCUUCCAUCGCGUAGUAGCUAACACCUCGCGACUGGAGAGCGGCGCGGCCACGCCGUAAAACACCCAACUCUUCUGAAGUUGACCUCGAAUCAGGUAGGAAUACCCGCUGAACUUAAGCAUAUCAAUAAGCGGAGGA
rnacentral:misc_RNA from 1 species